rnacentral:rRNA from 1 species
ACCCUUUAAUGUUUGAUGUUCUAACGUGGACCCGUAAUCCGGGUUGCGGACAGUGUCUGGUGGGUAGUUUGACUGGGGCGGUCUCCUCCUAAAGAGUAACGGAGGAGCACGAAGGUUGGCUAAUCCUGGUCGGACAUCAGGAGGUUAGUGCAAUGGCAUAAGCCAGCUUGACUGCGAGCGUGACGGCGCGAGCAGGUGCGAAAGCAGGUCAUAGUGAUCCGGUGGUUCUGAAUGGAAGGGCCAUCGCUCAACGGAUAAAAGGUACUCCGGGGAUAACAGGCUGAUACCGCCCAAGAGUUCAUAUCGACGGCGGUGUUUGGCACCUCGAUGUCGGCUCAUCACAUCCUGGGGCUGAAGUAGGUCCCAAGGGUAUGGCUGUUCGCCAUUUAAAGUGGUACGCGAGCUGGGUUUAGAACGUCGUGAGACAGUUCGGUCCCUAUCUGCCGUGGGCGCUGGAGAACUGAGGGGGGCUGCUCCUAGUACGAGAGGACCGGAGUGGACGCAUCACUGGUGUUCGGGUUGUCAUGCCAAUGGCACUGCCCGGUAGCUAAAUGCGGAAGAGAUAAGUGCUGAAAGCAUCUAAGCACGAAACUUGCCCCGAGAUGAGUUCUCCCUGAGACUUAGAGUCUCCUGAAGGAACGUUG